rnacentral:rRNA from 1 species
UUUAGGGAGAGGGUUUUGUUCGCCGUAUUUGGUGCUGGAGCUGGGCGAGGCAGAGGCGAGGGGGCGAAGGUCAGGUGAGGGGAAGGAGGGGGAGGCGAGGCGGGGGAGUUCGCUUCCGUGGCCUACCGCCGCAGGGGGUGGGGGCCGCCGCCGGAGCCCCGGUAGGAGCGGCGGCCGCUGUCCCUGAUGGAGCAGGCGUUGAGGCCGCUCGUCCACUUCUAGUCGUCGUAACUCCCUCUGUGACAUCGAUAGAUAAAGAGCCGGAGUACCACGGGCGGUACGGUCGCCAAAUGUGGUUUCGAAUAACUUCGUAUGUGUCUUGAAUGGAGUUUACCGUUCUCGAAACUCCACUAGAAACAAAGUCCGCUGGCUCUACUCCUUCGUAAGUUACGGAUAAAACGUUUCUACGGCACCAACCGUCAAGGAAAGAUGCUGAGGCUUCCGGCAUUUUCGGAACUACUCGCCAAACUGCAGUUGCCAUAAGGUGUGGAACAAAAGGAACUACGUUUUUGACCGCUUCAAGAAUGACUGCUUCCUCAACUCAAACACUCACUUAUACCUUAUCUUCGAAUAGGAAAAUGUUGACUCUCCUAGUUACUUAACUUCCUUGUUCUUUUCCGACGAUUCCUAUUGGUUUGAUAAGUAUCACACGAACGAUGUGGUUUAGCAUUGAUACAUUAAAGUUUGUGCCCCCUCUUCCAUGGGUAGCAACUAGAACUCCCCUUCAUACAACCAUAUACGAAACAUCACUUGCCGAUGGGAGGUCAACUCCUUAAAUGGGGUCACGAACGGUUCUAUAUACGCUUUGAGUUUCUUCACCCCCUCUUCAAACUUCAACAUCGAUGUGACUCGUCGUUAUAACGUCUGUAUUAGUUACUCGUACCAAACCUACGUACCCUCCCCAAGGGGAAGUUACGUCUCUUCGACCUUUAAGAUCGACUCUUCCGUUUCCGAUUUCGUCGGAGUGUCUGUAACCUCAGGGAAGACCAAUGACCACUGCACCUGAAACAGUAGCCCUUUCUACCUCGUUUCCAAGGACAUCGUCUUGAACAACCCUUCUGACAGGAGGAGAUGAAAAGUCGAUUUACCACACCCGGUACGUCUCGGAAGGACGGAUGUGAACACCUACAGAUGUUGUUCUAGUUCCUCUUCUUGUCGCUAAAGCUCUAGCAGAAGCAGAGAUCGCUGUCCCUGGUCUCGAGUAAGCUGCUGAAGAAGAGACCGUACGGUACCGAGCGGUAGGGGAACCUUCUGCUUUCCUUCCGCAUGGACUUUUUCUUCAAGUUCUAGGCACCUUAGGGAAGAGACCAGCGGUAACCGGGGCUACCCUUCUGCCAGUUGUGCCUGCGCUUCUGAAGCGACCGCCAGGUACCGCGGCUGCGCAAAGGCAAGUGGCUGCUCUCCUAGGUCCUCGACCUCUUCUUCUAGCUCCUCUACCGUUUCCCCACCGGACUCUUCGACUUCGUGCUCGACGUGCUCGUGCUCGAGCACGACUAGGCGGCGGGGUCCGGCAUGCCGACGCUGCCCACGCUUCUCUACCCGUGGAGGACCAGGAUGUUGACGCGCCUCACGCUGAAGCUAGACGUGUGGUUCACACGCGACCCACUCCUCUUCUUCCCUCUCCUCCACUUACCCGUCCUCGUACGACGACGGGGUCGACCCAUGCACACGCUCCCUCUGCAGACGUCCUUCCGGAUCCAUCGCAACACAACACACACAAGGAACGGUCGACUCCGCACAGACUUAGUACACGACACACCACACUACUAUUUAUUUAGAACGUAGGCUACCAAACCGAACCCUUCAUAAACAGCACCACUGUAAAUACACGUUUUAGCCAGAUUCAAAUACCAAAGUCUAGAAACGGAAAAACCGUAAACGAGAAA